AAUCUUUGAACGCACAUUGCGCCCGCCAGUAUUCUGGCGGGCAUGCCUGUUCGAGCGUCAUUUCAACCAUCAAGCCCCAGGCUUGUGUUGGGGGCCUGCAGCUGCUGCAGCCCCCUAAAAGCAGUGGCGGACUCGCUGUCAUACCGAGCGCAGUAGUUACAUCUCGCUCUGGUCGUGGCGGCGGGCACCUGCCGUAAAACACUCUUUCUAAGGUUGACCUCGGAUCAGGUAGGAAUACCCGCUGAACUUAAGCAUAUCAAUAAGCGGAGGAAAAGAAACCAACAGGGAUUGCCCUAGUAACGGCGAGUGAAGCGGCAACAGCUCAAAUUUGAAAUCUGGCUUCGGCCCGAGUUGUAAUUUGUAGAGGAAGCUUCUGGCGCGGUGCCAUCCGAGUCCCCUGGAACGGGGCGCCAUAGAGGGUGAGAGCCCCGUAUGGAUGGAUGCCUAGCCUGUGUGAAGCUCCUUCGACGAGUCGAGUAGUUUGGGAAUGCUGCUCAAAAUGGGAGGUAAAUUCCUUCUAAAGCUAAAUAUUGGCCAGAGACCGAUAGCGCACAAGUAGAGUGAUCGAAAGAUGAAAAGCACUUUGAAAAGAGGGUUAAACAGCACGUGAAAUUGUUGAAAGGGAAGCGCUUGUGACCAGACUUGCGCCAGGCUGAUCAUCCGGUGUUCUCACCGGUGCACUCUGCCUGGCACAGGCCAGCAUCAGUUUUGGUGGGGGGAUAAAGGGCGCAGGAACGUAGCUCCUCCGGGAGUGUUAUAGCCUGCGUCGUAAUGCCCUCGCCGGGACU
rnacentral:rRNA from 1 species